rnacentral:rRNA from 1 species
AGUGAACGCUGGCGGUAUGCCUAACACAUGCAAGUCGAACGGCAGCACAGUAAGAGCUUGCUCUUACGGUUGGCGAGUGGCGGACGGGUGAGGAAUACAUCGGAAUCUACUUUUUCGUGGGGGAUAACGUAGGGAAACUUACGCUAAUACCGCAUACGACCUACGGGUGAAAUCAAGGGAUCUUCGGACCUUUCGCGAUUGAAUGAGCCGAUGUCGGAUUAGCUAGUUGGCGGGGUAAAGGCCCACCAAGGCGACGAUCCGUAGCUGGUCUGAGAGGAUGAUCGGCCACACUGGAACUGAGACACGGUCCAGACUCCUACGGGAGGCAGCAGUGGGGAAUAUUGGACAAAGGGCGAAAGCCUGAUCCAGCAAUACCGCGUGGGUGAAGAAGGCCUUCGGGUUGUAAAGCCCUUUUGUUGGGAAAGAAAAGCAGCAGGUUAAUACCCCGAUGUUCUGACGGUACCCAAAGAAUAAGCACCGGCUAACUUCGUG